rnacentral:lncRNA from 10 species
GACGAAAGGUUCUGGAAGCCGCCGUAAAAACCCUUUGAGGAACCGUUUGAGGUGUGGCACGAUACAGCAAGUCAGCUGCCAAAGAGGGGCUUAGCCACAGGAAGUGCGUGCCCAGAACGCAUCUCCCGUGUCCCUCACAGCAGUUCUAUGAGGCUGGCUGCCCUGUUUGACAACUGAGGCCCGCAUCUUCCCCGGAAUCACCGACGUGUGGCUCUGAGCCCUGUCCCAGGGAUUUUCUCCAUCAGAGAAGAGGAGCACUUUGAGCUUUGAGAGGAGCAGCCCUCUGCAAGUGAAGUGGAAAAAAAGGAAGCAGGCGAGGAGGCCCAUCCAGACCCUCCCCCAAGACCCUUGCUGAAAUGGCUGGGAUGCGGCGUGCAGAAGCUCUCCUUUCCUUCACAGCCCCUGGCUUUCCAAGAGUCCCUGCCCACCCAGAUGCCCGCUGGCAGAUGCAGCCUCAUCUCAAGGACACUGCUUGCUGGAUAAAUCCCUCACCACCCUAGAGACAGCCCACGGUCCUGAGACAAGGAUGCGGGCCAGGCUUGUUGCACGUAAGCGCCUCCCGCAGAAACCAGUGAGGCCGGAGUUCCAGAGGAAAUGAUGUAGGGACAGAGGCAGAGGGCCUCCAGGAGGCACCAGCCCCAGAGUCUUCCCUAGAAUCAGACUUUAAGCACAAGCAGGGAGGGAAAGCACUUGAGCAGUGCCCGUCCCUGCAUACCUGGCCUCUGCUGGAACCCAUGCAGGGACAGGACACUUCUUUAUCAGCAAUCCUGUUCCUCUCCUGGGCAGCUUCAACCUGAACAUCCUCCUUCACCUUGAGCUAAAAUGGGUUUCUUGUCACCCUUGCCCAUCAAACCUGGCCUUGCCCUCAGGAACCAC